rnacentral:rRNA from 1 species
UUAGAUUUUGUUUAUUAAUUUAUUUUAUUUAUUAUUAAUAAAUUUUAUUAUAAAUAAUUGUAAUUUUUUAUUUUUAGUAUAGUAUAUAGAAUAAAUAUAGUUUAUUAUAGAAAAUUAGUAUUGUAAAAGAAUACUGAAAUAAAAUGAAAAAUUUUUAUUUUAAAAGAAAAUAUAAUUUAUUGUACCUUGUGUAUCAGGGUUUAUUAAUUAUAAAAUUUAAAUUAAUUUUUCUCGAUUUUAAAAGAUUUAAUAGAUUAUAAAAGUUAAUGUGAUAAUAUUAUUUUAAAUAAUUUAUUAGAAAUGAAAUGUUAUUCGUUUUUAAAGGUAUCUAGUUUUUUAAGAAAUAAAUUUAAUUUAGAAAGUUUUUAUAUAAUUAAUUUAUUAAAAAAUUAAUUUUUAAUUAUUUUUAAUAUUUUAUGGGAUAAGCUAUAAAAUAAAUUAUUAUAAAUGAUAAAUAAAAUUUUAAAAAUAUAUGUUUAGAAUUAGCAAAUGUUAUUAAAUAUGUUAUAAUUUAUUUUUGUAAAUUAAAUUAUUUAUUAAUUUUUAAUUUUUUAUUAAAAAAUUUAUUUAAAUUAAAUAAAUAAAUUAAUAAUGAUAAAAUUAGUAUAUAAAUAUUGUUAAAAUAAAUUUUUAGGAAAAGUUUAAAUAAAGAACUCGGCAAAAUAAUGUUCGCCUGUUUAACAAAAACAUGUCUUUUUGUAUUUAAAUAAAAAGUCUAACCUGCCCACUGAAAUUUAAAUGGCCGCAGUAUAUUGACUGUGCAAAGGUAGCAUAAUCAUUAGUCUUUUAAUUGAAGGCUUGUAUGAAUGGUUGGACGAGAUAUUAACUGUUUCAUUUAAAAUUAUUAUAGAAUUUUAUUUUUUAGUAAAAAAGCUGAAAUUUUAUUAAAAGACGAGAAGACCCUAUAAAUCUUUAUAUUUAGUUUAUUUUUAUUUUAUAGAUUUGAUUUAUAUAAUUAAAUUUAAAUAUUUUAUUGGGGUGAUAUUAAAAUUUAAUAAACUUUUAAUUUUUUUUUCCAUUGAUGAAUGAAUUUAUGAUCCAUUAUUUAUGAUUAAAAAUUUAAGUUACUUUAGGGAUAACAGCGUAAUUUUUUUGGAGAGUUCAUAUCGAUAAAAAAGAUUGCGACCUCGAUGUUGGAUUAAGGAAUAAGUUUAGGUGUAGAAGUUUAAAUUUUAAGUCUGUUCGACUUUUAAAUCCUUACAUGAUCUGAGUUCAAACCGGUGUAAGCCAGGUUGGUUUCUAUCUUUAAUAAAUUAAAAUAUUUUAGUACGAAAGGAUUAAAUAUUUAAAAUAAAGUUUUUAAAAAUUGAAUAUAAUUAAU